UAAUACGGAAUGUGCAAACGUUAUUCGGAAUCACUGGGCUUAAAGAGUCCGUAGGCGGCAUGUUAGGUGAGGUGUGAAAUCCCCCGGCUCAACCGAGGAAUUGCGCUUCAAACCGGCGUGCUUGAGGAAGAUAGAGGUGGGCGGAACUGAUGGUGGAGCGGUGAAAUGCGUUGAUAUCAUCAGGAACACCGGAGGCGAAGGCGGCCCACUGGGUCUUUUCUGACGCUGAGGGACGAAAGCUAGGGGAGCGAACGGGAUUAGAUACCCCGGUAGUC
rnacentral:rRNA from 1 species